rnacentral:rRNA from 1 species
UACAGAGGGGCAAGCGUUAUUCGGAAUUAUUGGGCGUAAAGGGCGCGUAGGCGGCUUCGCAAGUGGAAGGUGAAAUCCCUCGGCUUAACCGAGGAACUGCCCUCCAACUGCGUUGCUUGAGGCCGGGAGAGGUGAGUGGAAUUCCCGAUGUAGCGGUGAAUGCGCAGAUAUCAGGAGGAACACCGAUGGCGAAGGCAGAUCUCUGGGCCGUAACUGACGCUGAGGAGCGAAAGCAUGGGGAGCGAACAGG